rnacentral:tRNA from 1 species
GCCUGGGUGGCUCAGUCAGUAGAGCAUGAGACUCUUGAUCUCAGGGUCAUAAGUUCAAGCCCCAUGUUGGGCA